rnacentral:misc_RNA from 1 species
GUGGCGGGAUUUUGUUCAAAGAUUAGCAAGACGGAAGACUGUUGGGAAGACGUAGCACAUAAAAUUGGUCUGGUUGUGAGUAGGGAAACAGAAGAAUGCAUGGACUUACUUGCGUUGAGUUAUAAACAUUUGCCGCUUCACUUGAAGACAUGCUUCCUGUAUAUGGGAGCUUUUCCAAAAGACUUUGAGAUAACUGUUUCAAAACUAAUGAAGCUAUGGAUUGCUGCGGAAUUCGUAAAACGCACACCUGAAAAGGACUUCGAAGAAGUUGCCCACGGGUACCUAAGAGAUCUUAUAGAUAGAAGUCUGAUUAUGGUUAAGAAAUUGACCUCAAGUGGCGAAGUAAAAACAUGCAAGGUUCAUGAUCUGUUGCAUGAUCUAAUCAUAC